rnacentral:ncRNA from 1 species
CAAGGGAGGCUAUUAAUUUGCACUCAAUCGUACCGAUAUCCGCAUUAGGUCUCCAAGGUGAACAGCCUCUAGUCGAUAGAAUAAUGUAGGUAAGGGAAGUCGGCAAACUAGAUCCGUAACUUCGGGAAAAGGAUUGGCUCCAGUGGUCGGAACGGUUGGCCAGUUGGUUGAUGCUUGUCCGGCGCUGUUCUGUCUGCUUGAUGCUUUCGGGCUGAUGGCGGCCUAGUGAUAGUGCUUGCUUGUUGACGCUUUCUGGUGUGUGCUUUGACCUCGGUCUUAGUAUCCUGAUCGUUCAUCUAAACGACUAAACUGGAACCGGUACGGACUCAGGGAAUCCGACUGUCUAAUUAAAACAGAGGUGACAGAUGGUCCUUGCGGACGCUGACUGUCACUGAUUUCUGCCCAGUGCUCUGAAUGUUAAAUCGUAGUAAUUCGAGUAAGCGCGGGUAAACGGCGGGAGUAACUAUGACUCUCUUAAGGUAGCCAAAUGCCUCGUCAUUUAAUUGUUGACGCGCAUGAAUGGGGGAGAGGGUAAAUAAGACUUCCUUCUUGGGGUAUGAUCGAUUGCGUAGUCUUCUAGCCUACGAUCUGU